rnacentral:rRNA from 1 species
CGAAUGCUGACAUAAGUAACGAUAAAGCGGGUGAAAAGCCCGCUCGCCGGAAGACCAAGGGUUCCUGUCCAACGUUAAUCGGGGCAGGGUGAGUCGACCCCUAAGGCGAGGCCGAAAGGCGUAGUCGAUGGGAAACAGGUUAAUAUUCCUGUACUUGGUGUUACUGCGAAGGGGGGACGGAGAAGGCUAUGUUGGCCGGGCGACGGUUGUCCCGGUUUAAGCGUGUAGGCUGGUUUUCCAGGCAAAUCCGGAAAAUCAAGGCUGAGGCGUGAUGACGAGGCACUACGGUGCUGAAGCAACAAAUGCCCUGCUUCCAGGAAAAGCCUCUAAGCAUCAGGUAACAUCAAAUCGUACCCCAAACCGACACAGGUGGUCAGGUAGAGAAUACCAAGGCGCUUGAGAGAACUCGGGUGAAGGAACUAGGCAAAAUGGUGCCGUAACUUCGGGAGAAGGCACGCUGAUAUGUAGGUGAAGUCCCUCGCGGAUGGAGCUGAAAUCAGUCGAAGAUACCAGCUGGCUGCAACUGUUUAUUAAAAACACAGCACUGUGCAAACACGAAAGUGGACGUAUACGGUGUGACGCCUGCCCGGUGCCGGAAGGUUAAUUGAUGGGGUCAGCGCAAGCGAAGCUCUUGAUCGAAGCCCCGGUAAACGGCGGCCGUAACUAUAACGGUCCUAAGGUAGCGAAAUUCCUUGUCGGGUAAGUUCCGACCUGCACGAAUGGCGUAAUGAUGGCCAGGCUGUCUCCACCCGAGACUCAGUGAAAUUGAACUCGCUGUGAAGAUGCAGUGUACCCGCGGCAAGACGGAAAGACCCCGUGAACCUUUACUAUAGCUUGACACUGAACAUUGAGCCUUGAUGUGUAGGAUAGGUGGGAGGCUUUGAAGUGUGGACGCCAGUCUGCAUGGAGCCGACCUUGAAAUACCACCCUUUAAUGUUUGAUGUUCUAACGUGGACCCGUGAUCCGGGUUGCGGACAGUGUCUGGUGGGUAGUUUGACUGGGGCGGUCUCCUCCUAAAGAGUAACGGAGGAGCACGAAGGUUGGCUAAUCCUGGUCGGACAUCAGGAGGUUAGUGCAAUGGCAUAAGCCAGCUUGACUGCGAGCGUGACGGCGCGAGCAGGUGCGAAAGCAGGUCAUAGUGAUCCGGUGGUUCUGAAUGGAAGGGCCAUCGCUCAACGGAUAAAAGGUACUCCGGGGAUAACAGGCUGAUACCGCCCAAGAGUUCAUAUCGACGGCGGUGUUUGGCACCUCGA